AUUGAACGCUGGCGGCAGGCUUAACACAUGCAAGUCGAGCGGGGUGAUGGUGCUUGCACUAUCACUUAGCGGCGGACGGGUGAGUAAUGCUUAGGAAUCUGCCUAUUAGUGGGGGACAACAUCUCGAAAGGGAUGCUAAUACCGCAUACGUCCUACGGGAGAAAGCAGGGGAUCACUUGUGACCUUGCGCUAAUAGAUGAGCCUAAGUCGGAUUAGCUAGUUGGUGGGGUAAAGGCCUACCAAGGCGACGACUUGUAGCGGGUCUGAGAGGAUGAUCCGCCACACUGGGACGGAGACACGGCCCAGACUCCUACGGGAGGCAGCAGUGGGGAAUAUUGGACAAUGGGGGGAACCCUGAUCCAGCCAUGCCGCGUGUGUGAAGAAGGCCUUAUGGUUGUAAAGCACUUUAAGCGAGGAGGAGGCUCUUUUGGUUAAUACCCAAGAUGAGUGGACGUUACUCGCAGAAUAAGCACCGGCUAACUCUGUGCCAGCCGCCGCAGUAA
rnacentral:rRNA from 1 species